rnacentral:miRNA from 1 species
AUAUAUAUAUAUACAUAUAUAUAUAUAUAUACACAUAUAUAUAUAUAUAUACACACAUAUAUAUAUAUAUAUACACAUACACACACAUAUAUAUAUACAUAUAUAUAUAUA